UACGUAGGGUGCAAGCGUUAAUCGGAAUUACUGGGCGUAAAGCGUGCGCAGGCGGUUAUGUAAGACCGGUGUGAAAUCCCCGGGCUUAACCUGGGAACUGCAUUUGUGACUGCAUAGCUAGAGUACGGUAGAGGGGGAUGGAAUUCCGCGUGUAGCAGUGAAAUGCGUAGAUAUGCGGAGGAACACCGAUGGCGAAGGCAAUCCCCUGGACCUGUACUGACGCUCAUGCACGAAAGCGUGGGGAGCAAACAGG
rnacentral:rRNA from 1 species